AAAAGGUUUGAUUAUUAUUGUUUUAUAUAAUGAGUUACAGUUCCACUACUUUGUUCAUUUUUAUCACUUGAUAAUAUACACUUUAAUCAAAGGGAAAGGAAUCUUUCUAAUCAUGAGUGCCUACUCAAAAAAGCAUAUAAAAGGAUGGAAAAGAUUCCUUGUAAGUGAAGAACAGAGGAACAAGGUGAAAGCAGCUCAGGAAAUAUUGCAGCACAUAAAUAAAC